CUCUUAUGAUUUUUUUUUCCUUGCUCAGAAGAAAUGAAGCAAUUCCCAUAAUCAUGCUUUGAUGAUGAUGAAAGUUGCAGUCAUCACUGUUUCUAAUUGACAGUUUGGGAGGCUUAGGAUAAUAAUUCACUUAAAUGCCUGCAAAUUGAAGUAUGUCAGCACUUUCCUAGGACAUUCCCAAGUAAAAUAAUAUGACUGGUGCAGGACAUUUGUCAUGUGGGUACAUCUUGGCCAGCUGUUUAUGUUUCCUCUAAGUGCAGUACACACACAUCAAAGCUGGAUUAAGAAAGACCUAGAAUGCCACAACACUCAGGCAUAUUCAGAGAAAUGCAGCAAUACAUCACAUUUAUCUGGCAUAUUUUCUCUAAAGAAAAUUUGACAAGUAUGAGUCCCAUCAGACCUGUGUGAGGCAGGUAGGUAUUAUAGCCAUUGUGGAGAUGGGAAGCCAAAAGCCUGGGGAAAGACCUUCUACUUAGUGGUUUGAUGCCCCCUCACAAAUUCUACCAGCUGCAGGUGGAGCCUUCUCUUUUCAGCACUUUUGAAAAGCCAGACAGUAGCUGGGUUUACUCAAAUCUGCAGUGGCUGUAAAUGUGAAAUCUGGGAUUAGGACACUCAGGAUCCUGAUUUUUUCAGAGCACUGCUACAGAGCUCUGAUCCCACAAGGCACUUGCCUAAUUUCAAGCAUAAAUUUCCCAUUAAGGAUGCUACUGUCAUGCUUAAAGCUAGGCACAUGCUUAAGUGCUUUGCUAGACUGGGGAGAUCCCUUUUUUAUGCAAACAUAGGCACAGAUUGUGCUGGAGAGAAAUGGACACUAAAUGAUUUUCUGUCCUUAUCAAUUGUAGGGCACUGCCAAGCAGUAGACAAAAACCUCUCUACUGUCUCCUUUACAUUCUGUGGCUAAGCACUGAGAUGACUGAGGAUGUGACUUUUCCAAAAUAACAAGUAAGUAUGUGCCUGAAGCAUGAUCAUGUAUCUGUAGCUUCUCCUGCUAACUGGCUGGAACUGAUGGUAGAGACAAGAUGAUUAAAAAAAUUACUCAUCACAAAAGGGUCAGACAUGAGUAACCAGGAUGAGGUGUUCACCUGUCUUCAUACACAACUUUUGAGAUGAUUUUAGGUGACACAUGCCCAGUCAAGUAUUAUGAGUUACA
rnacentral:lncRNA from 1 species